GAUGAACGCUGGCGGCGUGCCUAAUACAUGCAAGUCGAGCGAACAGACGAGGAGCUUGCUCCUCUGACGUUAGCGGCGGACGGGUGUGUAACACGUGGAUAACCUACCUAUAAGUCUGGGAUAACUUCGGAAAACCGGCGCUAAUACCGGAUAAUAUAUUGAACCGCAUUGUUCAAUGGUGAAAGACGGUGUUGCUGUCACUUAUAGCUGGAUCCGCGCCGCAUUAGCUGGUUGUUAAGGUAAUGGCUUACCAAGGCAACGAUGCGUAGCCGACCUGAGAGGGUGAUCGGCCACACUGGAACUGAGACACGGUCCAGACUCCUACGGGAGGCAGCAGUAGGGAAUCUUCCGCAAUGGGCGAAAGCCUGACGGAGCAACGCCGCGUGAGUGAUGAAGGUCUUCGGAUCGUAAAACUCUGUUAUGAGGGAAGAACAAAUGUGUAAGUAACUAUGCACGUCUUGACGGUAACGAAUCAGAAAGCCACGGCUAACUACGUG
rnacentral:rRNA from 1 species